rnacentral:rRNA from 1 species
AACGAACGCUGGCGGCGUGCUUAACACAUGCAAGUCGAACGGGUUUAAUGGAUGUAGCAAUACAUUCAUUAAAUUAGUGGCGCACGGGUGAGUAACACGUAGGUAACCUACCCUUCAGUGGGGGACAACAGAGGGAAACUUCUGCUAAUACCGCAUACGAUCACGGACUGGGAUGUUCGUGGUGAAAGGAUUUAUUCGCUGAGGGAUGGGCCUGCGGCCUAUCAGGUAGUUGGUGAGGUAAUGGCUCACCAAGCCUGCGACGGGUAGCCGGACUGAGAGGUCGAUCGGCCACACUGGAACUGAGACACGGUCCAGACUCCUACGGGAGGCAGCAGUGGGGAAUAUUGCACAAUGGGGGAAACCCUGAUGCAGCGACGCCGCGUGGAGGAUGACGGCCUUCGGGUUGUAAACUCCUUUUGUCAGGGACAAUGGUGAUGGUACCUGACGAAUAAGCCACGGCUAACUCUGUGCCAGCAGCCGCGGUAAACGUAGCGUG